UACGGAGGGAGCUAGCGUUGUUCGGAAUUACUGGGCGUAAAGCGCGCGUAGGCGGUCUUGUAAGUUAGAGGUGAAAGCCUGGAGCUCAACUUCAGAAUUGCCUUUAAGACUGCAUCGCUUGAAUCCGGGAGAGGUGAGUGGAAUUCCGAGUGUAGAGGUGAAAUUCGUAGAUAUUCGGAAGAACACCAGUGGCGAAGGCGGCUCACUGGACCGGCAUUGACGCUGAGGUGCGAAAGCGUGGGGAGCAAACAGG
rnacentral:rRNA from 1 species